AUGGAUUAUCACGCCCAUGAGAAUCUGGAACCGGUCGUCUCUACGAAGCAGCCAGUGGGAUAUUUGGCACAUAGGCGCCAGGCUGAUUGCAGCAUGCGCGUGUAUGAAAGAUGCUUCCGGUGUAAGUACUUCAGCGAGGAGGAAGCGUUAAGUAUUACCUUUAGCUGAUGACGUUACUCGCAGAAGAAGCACUGCUACUCCCGUGCAGCAGCCGCGGUAAUACGAAGGGUGCAAGCGUUAAUCGAAUUACUGGGCGUAAAGCGCACGCAGGCGGUCUGUCUAAGUCUGAUGUGAAAUCCCCUGGCUCAACCUGGAACUGCAUUCGAUACUGGCAGGCUAGAGUCUGUAGAGGGGGGUAGAAUUCAGGUGUAGCGGUGAAAUGCGUAGAGAUCUGGAGGAAUACCGGUGGCGAAGGCGGCCCCCUGGACAAAGACUGACGCUCAGGUGCGAAAGCGUGGGGAGCACAGGAUUAGAUAUCCUGGUAGUCCACGCCGUAAACGAUGUCGACUUGGAGGUUGUGCCCUUGAGGCGUGGCUUCCGGAGCUAACGCGUUAAGUCGACCGCCUGGGGAGUACGGCCGCAAGGUUAAAACUCAAAUGAAUUGACGGGGGCCCGCACAAGCGGUGGAGCAUGUGGUUUAAUUAAUGAUGCAACGCGAAGAACCUUACCUACUCUUGACAUCCAGAGAACUUAGCAGAGAUGCUUUGGUGCCUUCGGGAACUUUGAGACAGGUGCUGCAUGGCUGUCGUCAGCUCGUGUUGUGAAAUGUUGGGUUAAGUCCCGCAACGAGCGCAACCCUUAUCCUUUGUUGCCAGCGGUUAGGCCGGGAACUCAAAGGAGACUGCCAGUGAUAAACUGGAGGAAGGUGGGGCAUGACGUCAAGUCAUCAUGGCCCUUACGAGUAGGGCUACACACGUGCUACAAUGGCAUAUACAAAGAGAAGCGACCUCGCGAGAGCAAGCGGACCUAUAAAGUAUGUUGUAGUCCGGAUUGGAGUUUGCAACUCGACUCCAUGAAGUUGGAAUCGCUAGUAAUCGUAGAUCAGAAUGCUACGGUGAAUACGUUCCCGGGCCUUGUACACACCGCCCGUCACACCAUGGGAGUGGGUUGCAAAAGAAGUAGGUAGCUUAACCUUCGGGAGGGCGCUUACCACUUUGUGAUUCAUGAAUGGGGUGAAGUCGAACAAGUAACUUGACA
rnacentral:rRNA from 1 species